GGAGAAUUUUUUUUUUUCCUAUAUAAGCGCAACAAUCUUCAUGUGAGCCUCCAUAAUCCCCUUUCUCUCUUCGCUGCUCUCAAGGUCAAGGAGCCCUCCGUUAAUACACUGUUUCUCUUCUCCAUCUAUUUCCUUCUUUGCCUGAAACUUCUAAAUCUCUGUACAAAGAGAAUUGCUGCUUCUGUUUUUUCUAUUUGAUUUCUUUUAGUUUUGCUGCUGUUGUUUCGAGGAGGAAUUCGACAGGCGAAAAAAAAUGGCAAAGAAUGUGGGAAUUCUCGCUAUGGACAUCUAUUUCCCUC
rnacentral:misc_RNA from 1 species